GGAGAUUGUUGAGCAGUGGAAGGUGAAAUAAUAGUAAUUUAGUUCCUGGUAGUAGGGUUAGGGUAGUUCCUGGUAGUUAGGAUUAGGGUAGAUCCUGGUAGAUCCUGAUCCUGGUAGUUAGGGUAGUUCCUGGUAGGUCCUGGUAGUUAGGGUUAGGGUAGUUCCUGGUAGUUCUCAUGAACAGAACAUCAGCUGACCUUCACACAGACCCAGUCAUAGUAGUUAACUUCCUGUUUUCACAGUUUGAUCACUAGAUUACCAGGCAGAGUUUACAUUUACGUUUACGUUUCCUACAUAGUGCACUACUUCUGACCAGAGUCCUAUGGGUUAGUAGUGCACUACUUCUGAC
rnacentral:lncRNA from 1 species